GGGACGCUGGAGGAAGAGUCUGAGGGUCACCCUGCUGCUAAAGAGGGACGAACAGCAGCUGUCAGCCACGGGAGUCAAAGAGAGGAGGAGCGCCACAGCCAUCACGGCAGCUAAGGUUUUAUAGAGCGCGUCCGGUCCGAGCUCUUCACUGGACUAGCCGCCUUAAUGCUCACAAGUGCCCUGUGAGGCAGGCGCCAGCGCUGUCCCCAUCGUACAGCUGAGGAAACUGAGGCAGGGAGGUUUAACAACUCAUCCAAGCUAGUAAGUGGCGCGGCUAGGACUUUGUCCCACAUGGUCCCAUCCCCAGGGGGCAGGUGAGGCUCAGCCCCGUCCAGCAUUUGGCCCAGUUGCCCCUCCCCCACCAGGACUUCCUUCCAAUAACAGCGUUGGAAGCUUUGGUUAUGUUUUAUUAAUGGAAACGGUUUUUCUUUCAGAGCUUUGUGACAUCCUUUUUUUUUUUAUUAUUGAGGUAUAAUUUAUAUAUAAUAAAAUGCACAGAUCUUAAAGUACCGGUCGAUAACUUUUAACAAAUGCACACACUGGAGUCAUCCACACUGAAAUCAAGAUCCAGAACAUUUUUCAUCUCCCCUGUGCUGCCAAUCAAUACCCCAGCCCCAGGAGCUGAUGCUGUUCAUGUGGCCUGUUCUGAAACUGGAUGUAAAUGGAAUCAUACUGUCCACCUGUCUGCGCAGCCCCCUACCCCGGCCAUUCUUAGAGUGUGGCUCACACUGAGCUGUCAGGGAGUGAGCACACACUCGGUGUGCCCCUGAUCCCUGCCCCCCUGCCAUUGCCAGCGGUCACAGCAGACAUCACUCAUCCAUUACCACACGGGCUCCCGCUGAGCCCGGGUGCAGCCCCGGUGGGCCUCAUAUCGAGGACUGUGACGCAGAGAACCCCUAUCAACCGAUUGCAGCCGGCGUGGGAGUUGAAAUUCACUUGCCAGCCCAAGAUUAAAGCCGAUCUUCAUCUUUCAGGGGAAGCUGCACUUUCUUGAAACUUCUUAUUUUGAAGUAAAGUAAGACUUGCAGGAAGUUGCAAGAUUAAUAGAGUUCCCGCCCUUCGUCCACCUUCCCCAAUGAUAGCAUCUCACACGGUCACCGUAGAUGAUCAAAAUCAGGAAACGGACAUCGAUACGAAUCUGUUACCCAAACUACAGAUCUUGUUCCGAUUUGACCGGUGUUAACACGCCAUCUGGAGAGGAAGCUGGAGUUCUGUGAGAUGUUAUCGCACAUGUAGACAAAGGGACCCCUUAUGCUCCACUGUGAUGGUCACCCCCCCGUCCAGAAGAUGCCCCAUUCCUCUGAGUCUUGUCUGCCAGUUCCUCACUGUCUCUAUGACUGUAGCUAUAGAGUAAAAGAACCCCAUUGGAACAGGGAUUCAAACCUUGAGCCAAAAGGAGGAAGUUGUGACAGCGAAAUUUGGUGAAACCUGGACUUGAGGCUCGACUUUGGGUGACCUCGGUCAAGUCGCUGCCCAGCUCGGUCUUACUUUUUAAUUCGUAGAGUGGCGACCGUAAGCGUUAUGUUGACUAGCUGAAACGAGGGCUCCAGGAAGUUAUAAACAGCACGUUCUCGGGCCUCUGGAGUGUGAUGGCGGUGUUCGCGUUGAGGUUUUGAGGGGGUCUGAGAAAUGUCCCAUCCUCAUCGAGUUCCGAACAACCGAGAAACAAGACAGAAAUGUUACCGCUCUUACUGGUAAAGCUGAUGCUGGAAGAUGGUGCUUGUCUCCCUGGGGAAAUGAGCUCCUUAGCGCUGAAGCCCGGACUCGGGCAGCACCAGCCGCUCGCAGGCGCUCUGAGCUCCAUCCCACCUGGCACGGCCUGGGCCAUGGGCUCAGCGCUGAGAUGGGGGCAGGUGGGUGGCUCUGCGGUCUUAAGGGGUGGUGGAGCUGACGAGGGUUGCUGAUGGAUUGGGUUGGAUGGCGAGAGACAGGAGAGAAACCAGGAUGGCUCCUACGUCUAUGGCCUGGGGGGUUGGGGGGAUGUGGUACCAUUUACAGCGAUGGGAAAAGUGGGGGCUGGAGCAGGAAGGGAGGAAACCAAUUCAGCCACAAACCGAAUGAUGGGCCACAGAUGGGCACUGACCCCGAUUAGGUUGACCUCUAACCCUGGACCCCAAGUCCUGUCCCUGUUGGUAUCCAUGAACUUGUGCCUUUGAUGAACAAGGUCCACAGAUGAGUGUCAGCUAGACGGGAUGGGAUCCUGGGAGCACCAUUCAAUGAGCGCUUCUGGAAGGUCAGCCAUAACGUGGGCUUCACUCUGCCCAGGCCUGCGUGGCCCCCACAUUCUCAAUGCAGAGGGCACCUCCAGGACUCGCAGUCUACCAGGACCCCUGGCGGGCCCUGGGACCACAAACAGGACACUGGUCUUGCCCUCUGGGAGGGGACAGCCUAGUGGGAGAGGCUGCAGGUAUCUCGUCUUCUGAGAGGCCCAGUGGCUCAGACACAGGCCUCACGACUCGCCAUCCAAUGCUCUUCCCACUCCAUCCUCCUCCCAUUUGGAACAAUCCCCUUUCCGCCCAGGACAGGCCACUCUCCAGGUGCUGUCCCCUCCCACAUCAGAGGGGACCAUUGUGAUGACAGCCCCCAGGGCCCUUGUGAUGCUGACUGUGCUCUUAGGAUAUGAGAUGUCGCCCUGCUCUCUGCUUCAUUCCUUGCAAACUGUCCCAAGGUCACCCUGGAGCUUCACGCCAGGUCACACACAGACCGCGUUUGGGAAAAUAUUGUUCUCUCCCUGCCGGCAGCCCAGGGAGUGCUGGAGGCUGGGGUGGGUGGGGCCGGCCUGGAAGGGGGCUCCCCACACUGUACUGAACUCAGCACCCUGGGGCGGGGGGUGCAUCCUGGACACGAACAGCCAGGGGCAGAGGCCCUGUCCCCACAGGAGGAUCCGGCUCACCCCGCCUUCAACAAGUCCCACACGAAACAGUGGCGGGGGGUGGCCUUGUGACUCACAGUCGGAAGGACAACCACGCGAAACCAGAGAACCACCUGGAGGAGCGCUGAGGGCAGAGGAAACGGAUCCAAGUUCAACACGCACCUCGUUCUGCCUCCUGUGUGCUGGGAGCGCGUCCAGCCCGGGCUCCGACGGGGAAAUCGCACCAAGGGGCCAGCAACCGGUAACCGCCAGCGCAACUGGCUUUUCCUUGGCCCGUAAGCCAAUUAACGAUUCACUUAUUUACGCCUGUCCACCGUGAAUAAAAUAAUGCCAUCUACUGAGCGUCUGCUCCGGGCACCGUGCUAAGUGCCACUUACGCUUCAGCUCACUGCUUCCCUCUCGACCCUGAGGCCUUUCUGAUCCCCCUGUUACUGAAAUGAACUUAGAGAAGCUCGGCAGAUAACCCGAGGUCCCCAGCCCGGAAGGGAGGCCGAGCCCUGAGCAAGGCUCCCCACGCAAAACCCACGCCGUCUUAAUCCUGUCACUUCCUGGCGUGUUUUGGUCUCAGGUAAGGUAAGGUCACCUUGUCAUCGCUUCAUUAUCAUUUAUGUCCAAAAUUUUCCUGGCUCCCUGCUAGCAAUUGCUUUUCCAAAUGAGCUUGACGUCCCCUCGGCUGCGUCCCCUGGAACCCCGUUAUGUUUAUUAGUUACAUGAGGGAGAAUUGACAUCUUUCCAUCUGAGGCUUCCUUUCUAGAACGUGUGACUCUAUUUAUGCAGACAUUCUUAUUUUCCUGCAUAAGGUGUCAAUAGAGUUCUCUCACCAGCCCUGCGCUGCUCCUUGUAAGCAAAUUCCUAAGCUGUUUUUCAGCUUUUCGUUGCUAUUAUGAGUAGAUUCUUUUUCGAAUAACACUUCGAAAUUAAGUAGCUUGACCAGAUGGGAAAACAAGUCAUUUUUGCCUAAUUCUUGUAUCUAGUUCUUUUACCAAACUGUUGGAUCUGGGCUCUUCAUCGCCACCCUAGCAGAGCUGUUCGGAUUUUUCAGGGUAGAAAAUCAUAUCGUCGGCAAAUUAUCGUUUUUGCCUUCCUUUUCAAUGGUUAUCAUCUGUGUUUUCUUGUCCUUGUGGCCCCUGGCGCGAUUCUCUCCUGUACUGAGACUGGGGCCAUGUCACGGCGAGGCAGGAGCCCCACACCAUUGUACAUAUCACUUGCAUUUCAUAUCUUGCAUCAUUUGACCUUCACAGUAGCCACAUGGUCAAUCAAUAACCAUGUGCCCACACCUCUUAGGUGCCAGGUCACACGAGACCUAUGUUUCUGUCUCCACGUGGUGCACAGUCCAGAGUGAACUCAGGAAGUAAACAAGUACACUAAUUAAUUAAACACUGACAAGUAAACAAAACAUAGACCAGGAAAAGUAUAAGGAACCAUCACCUCCACUUUACAGAUGAGGAAUCAAGACCCAGGAUGGGGAAGGGAUUGGAACAAGGUCACACAGCAGAUAGGUGGCCAGGCUGAGGUGGAGACCCUUUUUGGUGUCGCGAGGCUGGGGCAACUCUGCAGCUUUCUGUACCCUGUGAACGUGGCCCUCCCUGGGCACAGAGGGCCCGCUGUCCUCCAGGCAGCACGGGCCCAGCUGGCCCAGGGCCGAGGACAGAGCCCUCUGACCUUCCUCGACAGGUGGCCGGGGUGACGAGCGUGGCCGUCGGCAGGGCUUCCAGGGACCCCGGCCGCCAGGCUGCAGACCUUGAACCCAGAACGGUUGCCAUCCGGCAGGCACUGCCCACCCGCAGGUUUCACCCGGCUGCUGAUUCCUGCCUUCCGUCCUCGCAGGCUGUGCCCUGGAGAAUGAGGUCUGGCUGCGGGAUGUGACUUGGUCCUGGGACAUGUGGCUUCAGGCCCAGCUGAGAACCGAGGCCAACGCCAGGCCUUCUAAAGCGGAAGCAAGCACGGCCAUUGGAAACGAGGCCAUGUUGGCUGCAGAUGCCCGGUGACUCCACGGUGGCUCGGACGAUGGCGCCUGGGAUCAGAGCCUUCUGUGGCUCCACCUAGAAAGCAAUCUUAAAGCCCCACUCUGCAGGCCUCUUCCGUCUGGCCCAGCCCAGCCUGCCCUGAGCUGUCUCCACAGAUGGUGCCACUCCCCGUUCUCCGUUUGCUUCCGAAACUCGCUCCCUCCGAGGUUGCCCCUCUGUUCCCUCCACCACGACCUGUGGCCCAUUCCCCCCCAGCCCCCUGCCCUCAUCCUUUCUCUCCAUGACCAAACCCUCCCCAUCCCGCGUACCCCAGCCCAGGGUCUCGUCCGUCAAGCCUCACCCGCCAACCCCUCCUGGAAGCUACCUUCUUCCUCUGAACACCGGGUCACACAGACAAAUGUCCUGAUUAGGCAAGUUAGUGGACCUUUCUGAGCCUCAGUUUCUCCAUCUGCAAAAUGAGGACGCUAGUCCAGCUCCCUCAGAGAAUCAGAGGCUCAGAGAACGGGAUCACAACAGCGGCCGACACUCGGGCAUCCCCUGCGGGGUGCCCAGCGUUGUCGGAAGUGCUGAGCAAAGGUUGGCGCUCUCGUUACUCCCAGUCGACGAAGAGAGAAGCAAGACACAAGGACGUGAAGCAGCAGGCUCAGGCUGAUGCAGCAGCCAGAGGGGACGGUGCAGGGCAGCCUGGCUGCCCCUCCCUGCCCUCCAUCACUGUGCGAUGAACGUGCCUGGUGGGUGUGGUGCGUGUGUGUGCAUGCCUGUGUGUGGGUGUGAGGACGCUCAGAGCACAGGUCCUGGCGCCCAGCGGGUUAUCCCUCUGGGAGCAUCUGAUCUCCAUGGCCCCUUAUCUCUGCCCCUCUGACUUGGCCCUUCCGCUUUGUCUCAUAACUCUGCUGCUCAUAGCUCACCCCCUCCACCCCCCACUCCCCCGCCGGACUGUGAGCUCCUGGAGGGCGGGGCCUGGCUCCCACCUGGGUAUGAACCGAAGCGCCUAACCCAGGGGCCCUGACACCGUCCGGCCCCCCGCGACUCCUCCGUGCCGUCCUUGAGCGGGCACAUCUUGUGGCUUCCCAGGGAGGACCCUGCUCGGCCCCGGCCCAGGGCCCCGCAGGCAGGAGGACCUCUGCAGCACAUGCUCCCCCCUCAUUGUUAAAGUUCAGGUCUCACUCCAACGUCACCUCCUCAGCGAGGCCCUCCCUGGCUGCUCAUCCUCAAAUGGCCCACUUCUCAGCGCCCUGUUUUAUUUCCUUCGUAGAACGCGUUGCCAUCGGAAACAGUCCGAUUACGUCUCUCUGUUUGUUGGUGUCCCUCCCACUGGUGUCUCAGCCCCAUGAGGAGGGGUCCUUGUCCCCAGGGUGGUUUAGAGCAGAGCUUUGUCAACUGUGACGUGCUCACGAAUCACCCGGGAAUCUUCUGAAAUGCAGGUUCCGAUGGAGUAGGACCAGGUCGGGGCCUGAGAAUCUGCAUUUCUAACAAGCACGGGUGACGCUGCCCCGGCCGAGCCCCGUGCUCUGGGCAGCCGGGUCCUCGCACUGCAGGUCUCCACCCCGCGGCCUUGGAAGCUGUGGGGAUGGGCCCGGCGGCGUGCGUUUUCACGGGUGAGUCUGAUGCACGUUCAGGUGUGCAGACCUCUGAUCAGGAGCGGAGUUAAGGGAACGAGCCCCGGAGCCAGGGCUGCCUCGGUUCGAGUCCUGAGGUUAUUCGCUCCCCUGAGCCUCUGUUUUCUGGCUGUGUGGUGGGUGACCUGACCGUUUGAAGGCAGUGAGUUCAUGCGUGUCAGCCGUUUGCCACCACCCCGGCGCUUUGUCCAACGAGUGAUCAGGCGUCAGCCAGAAGUUGUCAACGAGUGGGAGUGCAAGUGGGAACUGAAGGUCGUGCCAGGCCGGGUGUGACCUUCCGGGCCAGCUGUCUGCCUGGCUGACCAGGAUCCCCGUUUGCCCUGACUCCCACGCUCCAGCGAGAGAACAGGAGCACUGAGCCGCAGAGGCUGCAAGCUGCAGCUGGCUUCUCAGCACCCGCUGGAUGGAUCGGCCACGCAGGAACAGAGGCCCUGGGCCGCCAGCAGCGACCUCCUGGGAGUGUGUCGGCCUGUGAGCGGGGCCUUAUCAUCCCCAUUCUGCAGACAAGGAAGCCAAGGUUCAGGAGAGCUCCAGAAGGAUCUGCGAACAAAGCUACCGGAACCUGGAUGACGGGGAGGCUGGGACGGCUGGGUGCGACCCAGAGGAAGGAAGGGAGGGACGCCAGCCCGAGGGUCCCCAUCCUUCAUCCUUUGACCCCUGCAGGCUCGGGGAGGCCCCCCAAACAAACUCAGAGUCCCAACGCCUUGUCACAUAGCACAGGGCCACAGGCCUGGCCCCUGACAACCGGCUGAGGGCCAAGAGGAGUCAGACAGUGACAUGUCCACUCGGGCAGAAGGCGAGCCAGGUUCUAAGAGGCGUCAUGACCUUGUCUAUGCCCCGGAUCCCACCAGCCGCCUGGUGAAGCCUACAGACCCCCUUUCUCAGAAAAAUUGUUUUUUUAAUUCAUAAAAUACAGAAUAUUACAAAGGAA
ensembl:lncRNA